CCCGGCCUCUGCUAGCAUUUUCCAACUGUGUCCUAUAAUAGUAAUCUUACUUAAAGUACUCAAUAAGUUCUAGCAACAAGACUCCUUCAGAGUGCAGACCUUGGAAAGAAUCAGGAUAAGGACAGAGGUGGGGGCACCCGAGGACUGAAAUCCAUGGCCAAGCCCUGAAACCCUCACAUCUGUAUCUUGUUGCUCAAUGUCCAGGCCAGGCAAAUGAAUCUAACUGGCCAAUGGGAAAGCUGGGAUUGGAAGGCAAUGGAACCUGGUCAGUCAGAGACAAAGCACCAACAGAGACAAUCAGCUGCAAUGCCACAGUGGAAAGCUGGAAAGAAGAGAGUGAGUUUGGGUGGAUGUGGCCCAAGCCUGGACUGACUUCAUUUCUGGCCUAUGAAGAUGAUUAAACAGCAACUGAGGGUCUAAAGACCAAUACCUUCCAGGGUCUGGAUCUUUCUCCCAGGCUGGAGUACAGUGGCGCC